rnacentral:rRNA from 1 species
UCAAAUUUAAAAUCUGGCGGUCUACGGCCGUCCGAGUUGUAAUCUAGAGAAGUGUUUUCCGCGCUGGACCGUGUACAAGUCCUUUGGAACAAGGCGUCAUAGAGGGUGAGAAUCCCGUCUACGACACGGACUGCCAAGCGCUUUGUGAUACACUCUCAACGAGUCGAGUUGUUUGGGAAUGCAGCUCAAAAUGGGUGGUAAAUUCCAUCUAAAGCUAAAUAUGGGCGAAAGACCGAUAGCGAACAAGUACCGUGAGGGAAAGAUGAAAAGCACUUUGGAAAGAGAGUUAAACAGUACGUGAAAUUGUUGAAAGGGAAACGCUUGAAGUCAGUCGCGUCUUCARAAAUUCAGCUGGGCUUCUGCCCUGUGUACUUUUCUGUGGGACGGGCCAGCAUCRGUUUCGGCUGCCAGAAAAAGGUGGGAGGAAGGUGGCACCUCCGGGUGUGUUAUAGCCUCCGAUCGUAUGUGGCAGCUGGGACUGAGGACCGCAKCACGCCUUCAUGGCCGGGGUUCGCCCACGUAACGUGCUURGGAUGCUGGCGUAAUGGCUUUAAGCGACCCGUCUUGAAACACGGACCAAGGAGUCUAACAUGCCUGCGAGUAUUUGGGUGGCAAACCCAUAUGCGCAAUGAAAGUGAACGGUUGGGACUUCUGUCAUGGAAGGYACCGACKCCCGGACCAGACCURUAGUGACRGAUCCUA